ACAGCCAUUUUCGCCCAAAGGACUUCCAUUCUGCCUCUGAAAUCCUCCCUUCCUUCAAUCCUCCUUGAAGCCCUCGGAGAUGACCUACACCACCCUGGCUCUGGGUGCCGGCUGGGCGCACACAUCUGAAGGCUCUGUGGCAUCUCUCAUAUUCUAGUAGGCUGAGACAUCCAAGCCAGUGUAUUGAAGGCAGAGAGAGGCACGCUGGCACGUGGCUGAAUCCAUACCCUGGAAUAUUUUGGCUUCAAGUGCCCUAGAUUUUCUAAAGGUAAAAUAUUAAUCUGAUUAUUUAAA
rnacentral:lncRNA from 1 species